GACGAACGCUGGCGGCGUGCUUAACACAUGCAAGUCGAACGGAAAGGCCCUGCUUUUGUGGGGUGCUCGAGUGGCGAACGGGUGAGUAACACGUGAGUAACCUGCCCUUGACUUUGGGAUAACUUCAGGAAACUGGGGCUAAUACCGGAUAGGAGCUCCUGCUGCAUGGUGGGGGUUGGAAAGUUUCGGCGGUUGGGGAUGGACUCGCGGCUUAUCAGCUUGUUGGUGGGGUAGUGGCUUACCAAGGCUUUGACGGGUAGCCGGCCUGAGAGGGUGACCGGCCACAUUGGGGCUGAGAUACGGCCCAGACUCCUACGGGAGGCAGCAGUGGGGAAUAUUGCACAAUGGGCGGAAGCCUGAUGCAGCAACGCCGCGUGCGGGUUGACGGCCUUCGGGUUGUAAACCGCUUUCGCCUGUGACGAAGCGUGAGUGACGGUAAUGGGUAAAGAAGCACCGGCUAACUACGUG
rnacentral:rRNA from 1 species